CUACGGGGCGCACCAGUGGGGAAUAUUGGACAAUGGGCGCAAGCCUGAUCCAGCAAUGCCGCGUGUGUGAAGAAGGCCUUCGGGUUGUAAAGCACUUUAAGUUGGGAAGAAAAAACUCGCUCUAACACAGUGAGUCUUGACGGUACCGACAGAAUAAGCACCGGCUAACGCUGUGCCAGCAGCCGCGGUAAUACAGAGGGUGCAAGCGUUAAUCGGAUUUACUGGGCGUAAAGCGUGCGUAGGCGGUUCGUUAAGUCGAGUGUGAAAGCCCUGGGCUUAACCUGGGAAUUGCAGUCGAUACUGGCGGACUAGAGAACGGUAGAGGGAGGCGGAACUCCAGGUGUAGCGGUGAAAUGCGUAGAUAUCUGGAAGAACACCGAUGGCGAAGGCAACCUCCUGGGCCUGUUCUGACGCUGAGGCACGAAAGCGUGGGUAGCAAACAGGAUUAGAUACCCUGGUAGUC
rnacentral:rRNA from 1 species